rnacentral:rRNA from 1 species
ACGUACGCUGGCGGCACGCCUAACACAUGCAAGUCGAACGAAGUAGCAAUACUUAGUGGCAGACGGGUGAGUAACAUGUAGGUAUCUGCCCUUUGGCCUGGAAUAACACGAGGAAACUUGUGCUAAUACCGGAUAAGUCUUUACGGAGAAAGCUUUAUGCACCAUUGGAUGAGCCUGCACUUGAUUAGUUUGUUGGUGGGGUAAUGGCCUACCAAGACUGUGAUCAAUAGCUGAUUUGAGAGGAUGAUCAGCCACAUUGGGACUGAGACACGGCCCAAACUCCUACGGGAGGCAGCAGUGGGGAAUCUUGCACAAUGGAGGAAACUCUGAUGCAGCGAUGCCGCGUGAGUGAAGAAGGCCCUUGGGUUGUAAAGCUCUUUCGUCGGGGAAGAAAAUGACUGUACCCGAAUAAGAAGGUCCGGCUAACUUCGUGCCAGCAGCCGCGGUAAUACGAAGGGACCUAGCGUAGUUCGGAAUUACUGGGCUUAAAGAGUUCGUAGGUGGUUGAAAAAGUUAGUGGUGAAAUCCCAGAGCUUAACUCUGGAACUGCCAUUAAAACUUUUCAGCUAGAGUAUGAUAGAGGAAAGCAGAAUUUCUAGUGUAGAGGUGAAAUUCGUAGAUAUUAGAAAGAAUACCAAUUGCGAAGGCAGCUUUCUGGAUCAUUACUGACACUGAGGAACGAAAGCAUGGGUAGCGAAGAGGAUUAGAUACCCUCGUAGUCCAUGCCGUAAACGAUGUGUGUUAGACGUUGGAAAUUUAUUUUCAGUGUCGCAGGGAAACCGAUAAACACACCGCCUGGGGAGUACGACCGCAAGGUUAAAACUCAAAUGAAUUGACGGGGACCCGCACAAGUAGUGGAGCAUGUGGUUUAAUUCGAAGAUACGCGCAGAACCUUACCAACACUUGACAUGUUCGUCGCGACUCUAAGAGAUUAGAGUUUUCGGUUCGGCCGGACGAAACACAGGUGCUGCAUGGCUGUCGUCAGCUCGUGUCGUGAGAUGUUGGGUUAAGUCCCGCAACGAGCGCAACCCUCACUUUUAGUUGCCAUCAUUAAGUUGGGCACUCUGAAAGAACUGCCAGUGAUAAGCUGGAGGAAGGUGGGGAUGACGUCAAGUCCUCAUGGCCCUUACGUGUUGGGCUACACACGUGCUACAAUGGUAUCUACAACAGGAAGCAAGACUGCGAAGUUAAGCAAAUCCCUAAAAGAUACCUCAGUUCGGAUUGCACUCUGCAACUCGAGUGCAUGAAGCUGGAAUUACUAGUAAUCGUGGAUCAGCGUGCCACGGUGAAUGCGUUCCCGGGUCUUGUACACACCGCC